CGUCACGUAGAUAUAGUACGCGAGGCAAGCAAGUGAGGCAGAGUGAGCAGUUACGUUUUUGACAAAGUCGUUCAAUACGCAUCCAAACGAAGCGAGUAAAGAGCUGAUACCUUUGAUCUCGCCAAAAAGUCGACAAUUGUUGGUUCGCCCUGAGGUACGUCUCGGAAUGAGGCAGCCUCGCGGGUUUGCCUCGCAUUAAUUGCACAUAGCUUAACGACAGAGACGUGUCUCGCUAGCUUCUCCAUGCAGACGGUGGUGUCACGUAUCCCGGCAAUAGCUACUUUAUGUUUAAAUGUUUACAUUUGCAUUUUUUCUACUAACUUUAAUAGCACCAAAAUUAUAUUUAUGUUGGUCCAAGACAAUUAAUAAUUACAUAUUUAUUGAAUCUAAUGAUAUUUUUGCCAGACAGACUCGAUGAGUAUACAGCCAUCAACAUUAUUGUUAAAAAGAAAAAAGUAUAAAAAAUAUAUGAGAAAUAAAAAGUGAUAGCAAAAGUAAUAUGUGUUAUGUAAGCUAAAACAUAGCAUGUUGUAUAAAAUCGUAAUAGUCUUUACAUAUACGUACGUAUAUUAUAUAUCAUGCAUGCACGCAUUAGAUACACGUGCUCACUACAUACACAUGCAAUUACACGCAUGUAAGUAAAAGUGUAUAGAACUUGUAGAUAGCAAUACAUAGUAAUAGGAUGGAUCGCAAAAAAGAUAUUGAUGACUAAGAAAGAGAACUAAAUGAUCAAACUACAAGUUCAAGUACAAUUCCAUUUAAUCCAAUGAUAUAAUUUAUAUGUUCUUCGUUCGUAAUAAAUGUCACUGAUGAAUUGAUCGAAGAAUGUGCGAAGCUAAAAAAUCUGCUAUCAUAUUGUAUCAAGUUGUAUUAUAUAUAAAUAAAUAUUUUAUGUUGCUUUUUAAGGAGAAUUACAGUGGGUCGCCAUACGAUUAAAUUUAAUAUAAUGUAUGUAGUUCUUAAAAUCUUGUACGAGCUCAAUUUCAUUAUCAAAAUUUGCAAACUUAAUAACGAUCAGAGAAAUAAUAAAUAUAUGUGAAACUAAAAUCAAAAAUUCAAGUCAAGAUUCAAAUACAUUAUAUACAAUUAUGCUGCUAUUGUUCUCUUCAGUACCCAAAGCGUACGUGAUUAACGCAUAUGUAAUGGCUAAAAAAAGUAUAGACAUACUAUUGUAUUUAUAUACCAUUUACAUGCUAAUUAAUUGGAUCGAAUUAUACUAAAUUUUACAUUAUUUAAUAAUAUGUACCUUCAUAUGGCUACAAAAAUUUCAAAAAAGGCAAUGUUAAAUUGUGAUCUAGAAUAUUAUUUUUUGUACGUAUUAUCUUUAGUAUUUGUUAUUAAUUCCCUCUCAUAUUGGUCAUAAUUUGUUAUUAAUUCACAUUCGGUCAGUUUCGAACCAAUUAAAUUUUUCUAACGAUAAAAGGUACAUAUCUCGAUUUUGAAGAAAAUUCUUGCGAUUUAUCGUUUUAAUAAUAUGUUAAACGUCUUCUUAAAACGUUAGAAAUCUCUUCUAUUUGCAAAAGUGAGAAAAUUCUUUGAAUCAUAAAGUCAUAAAGUGAUUUGUGCGAAUCACGUGUUUUUUUAUUAAACACAGGAAAAUAAACGCACGAGAAUAUGGACUAACUUUGUAUUUAUAAAUGUACAUCUGCAAAUUUUACAACAGGAACAAUAAAAUUUAUAAAAAAAAUA